AUUCAGUGUAUUUGUGUGUGUGUUUGUGAGUGCCGCAGCAUGGAAUGAAAAGCGCAGCGCGUUCGCUGGCUUUAUUCGUCUCGUAUUUACCAAUAAUAAUAUCAAUAAAUAAUUGUAGUGGGAGCUCUUAUUGUAAUACAAUAGUCGCAAAUAGUCGAUUUUAGCAAUAAUAUAGUCAAAGUGCAGUGCAAUAACCGAUGCAAUUUCGGCCCGAUUGUCGUCCAAUCCCAAUCGUCGUGUGUCGCUAAAAAAGAGUGUGUGAGUGUGUGCGUGUGUGGCGCAGUUCAUACAAGUUGGCCUGAAAAAAAGUGAAAGAGUAAUAUCGCCAUAUUGUGUGUUAAUUUAUAUCGAAAAGUGCAACUAAAAUCAAUAUAAUUUUGUUAACAAAGCAAAUGCAAUUGUAGUGCACAUUGCCGCCUUGUUGCACCCGACUUAUGUAAAGCAAAUUGACAGAGUACGCAAAAAGAAAAAUAACUAUCUACAAAGACUCGCGAUCUCUGGUAGUUUUGUUCUUGUUUGCUGCACACACAUCCGCACAACAAUCUACAGAGAAAUCAAUCAAUAAAGUAGCUGCAGAUCGAUUGGCCAGAUUGACAGGAUAGGACAGCGAGAGCUGUCAACAAUUAUAUAGAAGGUAUGUAACUAAAGA